rnacentral:ncRNA from 1 species
AACUUACACAUGCAAGUCUCAGCACACCUGUGAGAACGCCCUUUCAACCUUCACCAGGCUAAGGAGCCGGCAUCAGACACAACUCCAGUCCACAACGCCUAGUCCCACCACACCCACAAGGGUCAUCAGCAGUGAUAAAUCUUGAGCAUAAGCGAUAGCUUGACUCAGUCAGAGAAAAGAGGGCCGGCCAACCCGGUGCCAGCCGCCGCGGCUACCCCGUGGGGCCCAAGUUGAAGGUUAUCGGCGUUAAGCGUGAUUAAAGUUCAUUCAGAUUAAGGUCAAAUUAAUACUAAGUAGUUUAAAGCUUGUUAUUAAGAAGAACACAAACGAAAGUUACCUUAACCAUACACACUUGAAUACACGACAGCUGGGGGACAAACUAGGAUCAGAUACCCUACUAUGCCCAGCCGUAAACAAUUAACUUACACUUAUAAGCGCCAGGGAACUACGAGCUACGCUUAAAACCCAAAGGAUUUGACGGUGUCCCACCCCCCUAGAGGAGCCUGUUCUUUAAUCGAUGAUCCCCGAUAUACCCCACCACCCCUUGCUAAUCAGUCUGUAUACCUCCGUCGAAAACUUACCAUGUGAAUGUUUACAGUAGGUUCAAUGACCCACAUUAACUCGUCAACACGUCAGGUCAAGGUGCAGCUUAAGAGGUGGAAAGUGAUUGGCUACAAUUUCUAAUUUAGAACAAACGAAAGGUUAUGUGAAAUCAUAACCACGAAGGCGGAUUUAGUAGUAAAAAGAAAAUAGAGUGUUCUUUUUAACCCGGCUCUGGGACGCGUACACACCGCCCGUCACCCUCUUCAAUGGCAUUACAC